UCGGCAUCACGCAAUCCUCGGCACGACGGAACCCUCGGCACGACGGUAUCCGCAUCUGGUCUUCCUUGCCCGUUGAGGGAAGAAAGAUCAAAAUCGAAGACAAGAGGGAAGGAGAGAUCAAGAAGGGCAAGAAAAAGAUCGAAAAAGAGGAGAUCGCGAGGGGUUCUUGGAGGAUGAGAUGGCGUUGAAAUUUCUGAACAAGAAGGGAUGGCACACCGGGAGCCUCCGGAACAUCCUGUGCUUCAGGACUUUCUUGCUAGGAACUGUCUAACUGGGCAAUUAAAGAUACUUUGAUUAAAUUUAUUGUUGCCUCUACUCUCCACAUUUGGAAAAAGUAUUGUUAAGUCUCCAUAUGCUUAAAUAUCUUAUUCGGGAUUGUGAUAUUUCUUUGAUGCAACCUUUUAUAAAGUUAUUAUUCAAGUCCA